GGUGAAUCUAUUUUGCCAACUUAAAUACGUCUCAAGUCAACCCCAACGUCGUAAAUUGGAGCAAAUCAUCAACCACGGCAGUUUGGACAAACUUCUCAACAAUCUUGAAGGAACUCACUUGGUCACUUCAAGUCUCGCCAAAAUGUCGUUCUCGACACAAGACACUGACGUUCAGAAUGAAUUGCACAAUACUCUACAAGCAUUUGAUAAAUCUAUUCAAGAGAAUGAAAUUGUAUUGGUGAUUUCAUUGGGGGUUCCGACCAUCGAAUGUCCUGGAAUGCUACAAGAGGAAAAGGUUUGCAUGAUUUUGCCAUGUAAAUUUUGGUAUACCGAAAAAUUUUGGUAUACCAGAAAUUUUGGUAUAUCGGUAUUACCGAAAAAGUCAUACCAACAUGUACCGAUAUUGGAUCCAAUACCGGUAUUUUUGGUGUAUUGGUAUGCCGAACAUCCCUAGGGUGGAUGUAUCUUGUAUAAAUGGGUCCAGUUAUUAAAUGAACUAAAAUAUGUAGGUACUUGGUAUGCCAACUCCCAAAACAAGACGCAAAAGUACCAUACAAGAGGCAAUGGCGGACCAUAUCAGUAACGAAAUCAAUGAAAACUCUCAACCAUCUGACAGUGACUCUAA